GGAAGAGUUACAACAAAGAAUGUGAGGACAAAAUAAAUUGAUAUAUUUUUAUGUUUGUAGUUUAUUUAGAAUAUAUUUAAUUAUCCCACAAAAUAACUUGAGUUAUUUAAAAUAGUAAAAAUAUUUCACAAUAUUACUGCUUUAGCAAAUGCAACUUUAUGUAUUUUGGAUUAAAUAAAUGCUGGCUUGGUCAGCAGAUGUAACGGCGCACCAGCAGAGGGAGCCCUCGCCUGAGUACUGACUGUUUACCGCUCCCUCUGCUUCUACAUUCAUUUCCUGUCGGACAGUAUUUAACAUGAGUCAGUGUGUUUGAUCAUUGCGAAGUAUUGCCAGUUUACCUGCCUUACCAAGUGGUUUCCAUAGUUAUUCUGCUUGCCUGUUUUGUGUAUGAUUCUGCCUGUCUUCACGUUUACGAUUGUUGGAUUGCCUCAUUGGAUUUAUGGCCUGAUUGGACUGAUGUUUGUGUUUGACCCAUUCGCCUGCCUACUUGUCUCUGCCUUGUGGAUCCCCAUUGUGUAUGUUGAAAGAUCGGACUGCUAUUACGAUGGACGCUAGCCUCCAGUCACCUACUCUCACAUACAGACUGUCCCCUGCACAACUGAGGCAACGUCAUUCUGGAGUAUCUGGAUAACGAGAGCUCUGGACUGGAUGAUGUCACAGACUAUAUACCUUCUAUAUAGGAAACAAUGUGUAGUACUGUAAAUAUAUUCCACACAAUUUGCUUAUUUUUAAUAAAUGGGUCAAUGGCAUGUUGCUUAUUCUUUUGUUCUAUUUAUUAAUUUAUUCAAAAAUACACAAAAAAUGCAAUUCAUGCAUGAAUUACCUUGAAUACACCUCUUUUGCAAAUUAAAAUUUAUUCUGAUAUUUAAAAUAAGGGCAAUCAGGGUGCUUUGACUUUUCAUGUCACAAAAAAGAAAAAGUUUAUAAGUAUGAUGUUCUUUAAUUCACAAAGUAUUCUGACAAUCUUUUAGUAUUAUCUCAGAUCAGAUAGUUUGAUGUUUUAUGACAUGGCAAGGUUAAAGUUGUGGUGCAACUCUUCAAAAAUGUAAUGAUAUUUAAUGAGUUAUGUAAAGAAUGAUUUUUUGUUGUUGUUUUAAAAAUUAUUAUCAUGUGUACAGUUAUGUAUUCAAUGUGUAAGAAAAUCUAUUUUCUUUUUACUUCUAAUCUUAAAUUCUAAGAAAGAAUUUAUCUUCCACACUUAAAGGGAUACUUCACCUCAAAAUAAAAAUUUUGUCAUUAAUCACUUACCCCCAUGUCGUUCCAAACCCAUAAAAGCUCAGUUCUUCUUUGGAACACAAUUUAAGAUAUUUUGGAUGAAAACCGGGAGGCCUGUGACUGUCCCAUAGACUGCCAAGUAAAUAACAG
ensembl:lncRNA